rnacentral:rRNA from 1 species
AGGCUCAGGACGAACGCUGGCGGCGUGCUUAACACAUGCAAGUCGAACGGUAAGGCCCCUUCGGGGGUACACGAGUGGCGAACGGGUGAGUAACACGUGGGUAAUCUGCCCUGCACUUCGGGAUAAGCCUGGGAAACUGGGUCUAAUACCGGAUAUGAACUCCUGCCGCAUGGUGGGGGUUGGAAAGUUUUUCGGUGCAGGAUGAGCCCGCGGCCUAUCAGCUUGUUGGUGGGGUAAUGGCCUACCAAGGCGACGACGGGUAGCCGGCCUGAGAGGGUGAUCGGCCACACUGGGACUGAGACACGGCCCAGACUCCUACGGGAGGCAGCAGUGGGGAAUAUUGCACAAUGGGCGAAAGCCUGAUGCAGCGACGCCGCGUGGGGGAUGACGGUCUUCGGAUUGUAAACCCCUUUCAGUAGGGACGAAGCGCAAGUGACGGUACCUGCAGAAGAAGCACCGGCUAACUACGUGCCAGCAGCCGCGGUAAUACGUAGGGUGCGAGCGUUGUCCGGAAUUACUGGGCGUAAAGAGCUCGUAGGCGGUUUGUCACGUCGUCUGUGAAAUCCCUCGGCUUAACCGGGGGCGUGCAGGCGAUACGGGCAGACUUGAGUACUACAGGGGAGACUGGAAUUCCUGGUGUAGCGGUGAAAUGCGCAGAUAUCAGGAGGAACACCGGUGGCGAAGGCGGGUCUCUGGGUAGUAACUGACGCUGAGGAGCGAA